UAACAAAUAUUUGAUAUUCUACUAUUUUUCAAUCAAUAACCCGCAGGCAAACGUGCAUAGAAAAAUACUUAAUGCAUUUAUAGCUGCGUCAUGCAAAUAAACGUGAUGUCCAAAGCAAACAAUCAUUUGACUAUGUAAAUUUCUAUCAAAUAUAGACAGUACAAUAUAGAAACCCUGUAGGAAAAGAGUUGAAAUGUAUGCAUUGUCAUUGUAAGAGUGGUGAAAACGAAAACAGUUAGUGGUGAAAAUACCAGAUACCAUAUAAAGCACUGGGAAAUGUAUGUUGAAGAAAGACAACCACAUUCAGCUAACCAAAACAUCCAAAGAUGAAAGAGGAGCAGUGUUCCUUUUGGAAACAACACCACACCGUUGCGCUUCGUGAUUCUUAAUAUCAACUAUUGCUAAUAUUAGCAGCACUCCGGGCCGAAAGAAUUGACAUAGAAGUUUGACGAGUAGUGUUGAAAUCCGGAUGUCUGUUUAUCCGUUCGUCUGAUCACUCAAGGGAUGAGUAUUUUUGGAAGAUUUAUUUUUUAAUAUUUUUUUUUAAUACAUCAACCACAUUUUGAAGUCCAUCUGAAUCGUUUACUUUACAAUAUAUAAAUUAUGCACUACUUCUCAAGGCUUCAAAUAUCGAUCAUAUGUACCUCAGUGCUUGUGAUCAAUUAUUCCAAAAAUAUUGGUAAGUCUCUCGAAUAGUCUAAUGAAAUUCAGAGGAUAUGGUUUUCUUAUAAUAUAUCAUAUGGUUGGAAUUCAAUGAAGCGUAAUCACAAAGUUCAAAAAAUUUAUUUAAAAAAUAAUUUUGUGUUAAUAUUUCAAAAUUAGUGAGAAUAGUUUUAAGCCAUUUUCUACAGUCUAGUACAUACUCGUAUAUUUUUAUAUGACGAAUGGGAAUUAUUUUAUUUUUAUAUUUUUGUAUCUGAAUUUUUGCUGUUAUUUGUGUAUUGCUAAUUGUAAAUUGCGUUGAAAUUUAAACCUUUAUUUUUUAUUGUCAUAACUGGAGUUUUUUGCCAUUUCAGCUUCAAUUCGAUUUUUUCGCUUUAAUUAACUUUAAAUUAUAACCUAUGAAAUGCUGUUGGCUAUUUUCAAAUUUCUGAUAUUUAAAAUUACUUUAAUACUUGCUUUUAUUUUUGUUUUUAUUUAAUUCAUUCAAUAAUAUUGUGGCGCCAUAAAAGAUUUUUGCUAAUGCUGCAAAUAGCAGCGCUGCAGCAC